ACAAACUUAUAGUUACCAAGGGUGUCAGGGAGGGAUAGUUAGGAGUUUAGGAUUAGCAGAUGCAAACUAUUAUAAAUGGGAUGGAUAAGCAACAAGGUCCUACUGUGAAGCACAGGGAACUAUAUUCAAUAUUCUGUGAUAAAUCAUAAUGGAAAAGAAUACGAAAAAAGAACAUACACAUAUGUAUAACUGAAUCACUUUGCUGUACACCAGAAACUAAAACAACAUUGCAAAUCAACUACACUUCAAUAGAAAUACAUUUUUGAAAAAUUCCAUCAGAAAGAUUAAAAUAUAACAUCAGAAACAUUAUAAUACUUAGAAGUAAGUUUAGGGAGUUCCUGUCAUGCCACAGACAUUCGUUUCGUGGAAACGAAUCCGACUAGGAACCAUGAGAUUGUGGGUUCAAUCCUUGGCCUCGCUCAGUGGGUUAAGGAUCUGGUGUUGCCAUGAGCUGUGGUAUAGGUCACAGAUGCGGCUUAGAUCUGGUGUUGCUGUGGCUCUGGUGUAGGCCAGCAGCUACAGUUCUGAUUAUAUCCCUAGCCUGGGAACCUCCAUAUGCCGUGGGUGUGGCCCUAAAAGGACAAAAGACCAAAAAAAAAAAAAAAAAAAAAAAAAAAGAGUAAGUUUAGGAGUUCCCAUCAUGGUGCAGUGGGAACAAAUCUGACUAGGAACCAUGAGGUUGCAGUUGGAUUUGUUAACCACUGCGCCACGACGGGAACUCCAUCCAAUUAGUGUUUUUAAAACUCUGUCAUGCUGAAGACUGGUGAUGGCUUCCAUUAAAAAAAGGAAGAUCAAACAGGAAAAACAUAUGUGUGAUGUUAUUCUCAAAGUAAAGAGGAAAAAAAGGAAGAAAAUAACAAAUUCUGCUAGAAUCAAACUACUUAAACAAGAAUAUUUUAAUACUCAUAUAGCAUUUUUAGACAGUCUUUCAGACACAAAGUUUAUAUAAAACUAUAAAAAUAUAUGUAACAGCUUCAAACUAUACAGUUUAUUCAAUUUAACAGAAUGCCCAUGAAUCAGAAAAACAGGAUUUCCCAUUGUGGCUCAGUGGGUUGGGAGCCCAAAUAGUAUCCAUGAAGAUGAGGGUUUGAUCCUGGCCUUGCUCAGUGGGUUGAAGGAUCAGGCGUUUCUGAGAGCUGUGGUAUAGGUUGUAGAUGCAGCUUGGAUCCCGCAUUGCUGUGGCUGUAGUGUAGAUUGGCAGCUACAGCUCUUAUUCUACCCCUAGCCUGGGAACUUCCAUAUGCUGCAGGUGUGGCCCUAAAUUAAAAAAAAAGAAAAAAGAAAGAAAAGAAAAAAAAGAAAAGCAGAAUCACUAUGCAGUAAUUUAAGACAUAUGCAAUUUCAAAAAAUUUUUAUCCCAAUUUCUCAUUUAAAGUCUCAGACUACAUCUUAUCUAUUAUGUAUAAACAUAUGAAUAUGGAAUUUUGUACAUGAUGUUCACAAAUAAUAUGGCAGAAAUGUCUUCAGAGUUCUUAGGGUUUGGGUUACAAAUAAAAUUUAGGGAAUUUCAUCUUCUUUAUGAAUAGGAAGC
rnacentral:lncRNA from 1 species